AACGAACGUUGGCGGCAGGCUUAACACAUGCAAGUCGAGCGCCCCUUUCGGGGGGAGUGGCAGACGGGUGAGUAACACGUGGGAACGUGCCCUUCAGUUCGGAAUAACCCAGGGAAACUUGGGCUAAUACCGGAUACGCCCUUACGGGGAAAGAUUUAUCGCUGAAGGAUCGGCCCGCGUCUGAUUAGCUAGUUGGUGAGGUAAAGGCUCACCAAGGCGACGAUCAGUAGCUGGUCUGAGAGGAUGAUCAGCCACACUGGGACUGAGACACGGCCCAGACUCCUACGGGAGGCAGCAGUGGGGAAUAUUGGACAAUGGGCGCAAGCCUGAUCCAGCUAUGCCGCGUGAGUGAUGAAGGCCUUAGGGUUGUAAAGCUCUUUCGGCGGGGACGAUAAUGACGGUACCCGCAGAAGAAGCCCCGGCUAACUUCGUGCCAGCAGCCGCCGUAAGAC
rnacentral:rRNA from 1 species